GCGGAAGUUGUGUGUGUGUGUGUGUGUGUGUGUGUGUGUGUGUGUGUAUACACACACACACACACACACACACAACAAGUCUUCUGU
rnacentral:miRNA from 1 species